AGAAAACAAUAUUCAUGUUGUCUCCCUGAGCAUCCUGGACCUACCAUAUGCUGCAAGCUAGGAAGACAUAUCUCAUCCUCUUCCCACUUCCUCUGAGAUUGCGUUUCUGCUGAGACAACCUGAUGAGUGAGAAUCCCAAGGGCAGAUGAUUUCGCUCUUCACGAUCCACAGCAGGACAGAACUCGGGCCCAAUUUGCUUUGCGCUGUAUUCUUGUCUUUGUAGAUCCUGUGAAGGAGACCCUCUUAGAAUCCAUGUGUGUAUUUCUUUCCACGGAGGCAAGGACUCCUCUGAAUGGAACAAGUUCAUUGACUAGUUCGAAACGAAGACAGAAACAUUCCACAGAGGAGAGGUUGGAGAGUCUUUUUUUUUUUUUUUUUCCAGUAUAUGUUCCUUGAAUGACAGCUAGAAUUUGUAUUAUUAGAGGAAUAGAACUAAGGCCUUAUAAUUUUGGGAAAGGUAAGCAUUUGCUAGGUUUUAGUAGUCACAGAGUAUGAACCUGGCUCAAGUAACUCAGUUUUGACCAUCAAAGCUAUAAUGUAAUGUGUUUCCUAAUGUUUCCUAAUGAAGUAAAGUGACUGGUAAAUUUCC